UACGGAGGUGGCAAGCGUUGUUCGGAAUUACUGGGCGUAAAGGGCGCGUAGGCGGCUUGGCAAGUCAGAUGUGAAAGCCCCGGGCUUAACUCGGGAAUUGCAUCUGAAACUGCUUUGCUUGAGUCCUGGAGGGGGUAGUGGAAUUUCCAGUGUAGCGGUGAAAUGCGUAGAUAUUGGGAGGAACACCUGCGGCGAAGGCGGCUACCUGGACAGUGACUGACGCUGAGGCGCGAAAGCUAGGGGAGCGAACGGGAUUAGAUACCCCUGUAGUCCCU
rnacentral:rRNA from 1 species